rnacentral:rRNA from 1 species
UACGUAGGGGGCAAGCGUUGUCCGGAAUUAUUGGGCGUAAAGAGCGCGUAGGCGGUCCGAUAAGUCGGCUGUGAAAGUCAGGGGCUCAACCCUUGAAAGCCGGCCGAUACUGUCGGACUAGAGUCCGGAAGAGGCGAGUGGAAUUCCCGGUGUAGAGGUGAAAUUCGUAGAUAUCGGGAGGAACACCAGUGGCGAAGGCGGUCACCUGGACGAACACUGACGCUGAGACGCGAAAGCGUGGGUAGCAAACAGG